CCUACGGGUGGCAGCAGUGGGGAAUAUUGGACAAUGGGGGGAACCCUGAUCCAGCCAUGCCGCGUGUGUGAAGAAGGCCCUCGGGUUGUAAAGCACUUUCAGUGAGGAAGAACGCCUGGUGGUUAAUACCCAUCAGGAAAGACAUCACUCACAGAAGAAGCACCGGCUAACUCCGUGCCAGCAGCCGCGGUAAUACGGAGGGUGCGAGCGUUAAUCGGAAUUACUGGGCGUAAAGCGCGCGUAGGUGGCUUGAUAAGCCGGUUGUGAAAGCCCCGGGCUCAACCUGGGAACGGCAUCCGGAACUGUCAAGCUAGAGUGCAGGAGAGGAAGGUAGAAUUCACGGUGUAGCGGUGAAAUGCGUAGAGAUCGGGAGGAAUACCAGUGGCGAAGGCGGCCUUCUGGACUGACACUGACACUGAGGUGCGAAAGCGUGGGUAGCAAACAGGAUUAGAUACCCCUGUAGUC
rnacentral:rRNA from 1 species